CGGGUAACGGGGGAUCAGGGUUCGAUUCCGGAGAGGGAGCCUGAGAAACGGCUACCACAUCCAAGGAAGGCAGCAGGCGCGCAAAUUACCCAAUCCAGACAGUGGGAGGUGGCGACGAGAAUUACUGAGUGGUAGCCUUAAUGGUUAUCGACUUAGAAUGAACGUGAUUUAAGAAAUCCGUUGAGUAACAACUGGAGGGCAAGUCUGGUGCCAGCAGCCGCGGUAAUUCCAGCUCCAGUAGCGUACCUCAAAGUUGCUGCGUUUAAAACGCUCGUAGUUGGAUCACAUGGUUAGGUUUAGUGAAUUAGCGUGUUAGUACGCUAAAUCCUCAAGUGUAGAUGUGAUGGUGUGUUAUCACCGUCGCAAUUUAUAUAUUGUGGAGUGCUGCACGUUGAUUGUUAGCUAAGCCUAACUGAUUGCGUAUGGGGAUGGCAGUUGACCUUAAGUGAGUCGAUUGCUGUGUCCCAUGGAGUGUGCCUUGAAUAAAUCAGAGUGCUCAAAGCAGGCUUGAUGCCUGAAUGUUAACAGCAUGGAACGAACAAUUGUGGCAACAUGAUGUUGUCGCAACUGGCAAUGUACUUAUUUGUAUGUUGUUACGUUGGGGCAGCAUCAUAGCACCAACCACCAAUAUCGGAUGUUGGUUCCGUAUUGGGGUGAUGAUUAAGAGGAGCGGUUGGGGGCAUUGGUAUUUUGCCGCGAGAGGUGAAAUUCUUGGACCGGCAAAGGACUAACAAAUGCGAAGGCAUUUGCCUAGACCGUAUCCAUUAAUCAAGAACGAUAGUGGGAGGUUCGAAGACGAUCAGAUACCGUCCUAGUUCCCACCGUAAACUAUGCCGACUCGG
rnacentral:rRNA from 1 species